UUGAUAGAGGAAAGCGGAAUACAUAGUGUAGAGGUGAAAUUCGUAGAUAUUAUGUAGAACACCAGUUGCGAAGGCGGCUUUCUGGAUCAACACUGACGCUGAGGCGCGAAAGUAUGGGUAGCAAAGAGGAUUAGAUACCCUCGUAGUCCAUACCAUAAACGAUGAUUGCUAGAUGUUGGAAAUUUAUUUUCAGUAUCGCAGCUAACGCAUUAAGCAAUCCGCCUGGGGAGUACGACCGCAAGGUUAAAACUCAAAUGAAUUGACGGGGACCCGCACAAGCGGUGGAGCAUGUGGUUUAAUUCGAAGAUACGCGCAGAACCUUACCAACCCUUGACAUGUCUGUCGCGAGUUUAGGAAACUAGACUUUUCGGUUCGGCCGGACAGAACACAGGUGCUGCAUGGCUGUCGUCAGCUCGUGUCGUGAGAUGUUGGGUUAAGUCCCGCAACGAGCGCAACCCCUACUUUUAGUUGCCAUCAGGUCAUGCUGGGCACUCUGAAAGAACUGCCAGUGAUAAGCUGGAGGAAGGUGGGGAUGACGUCAAGUCCUCAUGGCCCUUACGGGUUGGGCUACACACGUGCUACAAUGGUAGUGACAAUGAGAUGCAAGGUGGCGACGCUAAGCUAAACUCAAAAAUCUACCUCAGUUCGGAUUGCACUCUGCAACUCGAGUGCAUGAAGCUGGAAUCGCUAGUAAUCGUAGAUCAGCGUGCUACGGUGAGUACGUUCCCGGGUCUUGUACACACCGCCCGUCACACCAUGGAAGUUGGUUCUACCUUAAAGCAGAUUGCUAACCGCAAGGAGGCGUUUGACCAAGGUAUAGUCAGCGACUGGGGUGAAGUCGUAACAAGGUAACC
rnacentral:rRNA from 1 species